AAAAGAUUAUCUGAUAUGUAUUCCGGAGGAUGAAGAACAUCGACUCCUCCUUGAACGUCUAAGCAUUCGUUUGGUUUGGUACCGAAGCUGAAGCUCCAGGGAGCCCCUAUUAUAGGUAGGGAUUUAUCAGAAUAUCCUAUCCACCUGAUAAAGCUGGAUACUUUUGGUAUGAUAUCAUGGAGUGGGGUCGAGACUCUAGGAUUGCGGCUUGGGCUAUCAAUGGGCUAUUGGGUUGGAUGGAGAGAUGGAUGAAUGGAGCUGAAGACUUGGAUAAUGUGGAUUAAUUUUUUUUGGACUUUGUCGUUUGUAUUUGUUUAAAA